AUUUAUUACAAUUUGUUAUUUAUCAAACCGAUUAUUGAUUACGAAAAUAGAUUAUAUUUUGUUAUUGUCUGUUACAACUGUUACAAAGAUAAGUGAAUGUAAACAGUCAUCAGCAACCAAAAUUCGUUUGUUUACAAUCACGACAACGUUUUGUUCAAGUCUGUGUUACAUUUUUCGAUUUUUCUUCCUUCCUGUUUUUUUAACCAACGUUUAAAGUAAAUAAAAGUAUUUGAAUUGUAUGUUAUAUUAGGUGUACCGAAAAGUAAUGUCAUUUCUUUUACAUUAAAUUCAGACAAAUACAUUCUUAGUAAAUUUCUAUUUUUAAUCGAUUAUGUAAUUAUCCUCAUUAUCAACAACCUUUUGGCAUUUAGUGUGCAAAUAUUCAAUGCCAGAUGGAUAAAAAUCAAUGAGUUGAUGAAUCAUAAAGAAGUAUUGAGAUUCAUAGAAACGACAUCACUUUUCGGUUCAUCUAAUAUAUACCAUUUUGCAGCUCAUAAAUGACUCUCAUAUUGUAUAUUAAAUACUACUGAGCGAUUGUGUAUUUCUGAUUUUAUCCACCUAGGAAACGAACAAAUUAAAAUUCGUGCUCUUCUACAUAUUAUUGGAAAAAUUGGACAAAAUCACAUUAAAAAUAUUAUGAAAUAAGAAUAAUACGUAUCAUAUAUUAUAAAAUUCCCAAAAAGUGGAAAUGCAGAAAGUCAGAAGAAAAAAUGUG